rnacentral:rRNA from 1 species
GACAGAGGGUGCAAACGUUGUUCGGAAUUACUGGGCGUAAAGCGAGUGUAGGCGGUUUGGUAAGUCGGAUGUGAAAGCCCCGGGCUCAACCCGGGAAGUGCACUCGAUACUGCCAAGCUAGAGUAUCGGAGAGGUUGGUGGAAUUCUCGGUGUAGAGGUGAAAUUCGUAGAUAUCGAGAGGAACACCGGUGGCGAAGGCGGCCAACUGGACGAAUACUGACGCUGAGACUCGAAAUCGUGGGGAGCAAACAGG